rnacentral:rRNA from 1 species
UACGGAGGGUGCAAGCGUUAUCCGGAAUCAUUGGGUUUAAAGGGUGCGUAGGUGGGCAAGUAAGUCAGUGGUGAAAUCUCCGGGCUUAACCCGGAAACUGCCAUUGAUACUAUUUGUCUUGAAUACUGUGGAGGUCAGCGGAAUAUGUCAUGUAGCGGUGAAAUGCUUAGAUAUGACAUAGAACACCGAUUGCGAAGGCAGCUUGCUACACGAUCAUUGACACUGAGGCACGAAAGCGUGGGGAUCAAACAGG